AUAUAUAUAUAUAUAUAUAUAUAUAUUUCAUAUAUUAUAUAUUAUAUAAUAUAUAGAGAGAUAUAUGUAUAUAUACAUAUUAUUGUGCUCUCCUUCAUGCCAGGAAGAGUAUCAGAGGCUGAGGACAGAAUAAGUAGACAGUGGCAUGGAGUCUGUCUCAGCAACUUACAGACUGUGGAGCAGGAUGUCCAUCAUCAUAUUUAUAAUCUAACAAAGGAUCAUAAAACAUAAAAGACUACAUCUACUACAAAGCAAUGUUUUAGUUAGCUUUUUUGUUGCUGUGACCGAAAGACCUGACAAGAACACUGUAGAGAAGGAAAAGUUUAUUUUAGCUCAUGGUUACAGAGGCUUAACUGAGUCCACAGAUCUAGGCCCCAGGUAAGGCAGAACAUUCUGGCAGAGAGUCAUGGCAGAGGAAAGCAGCUCAGGACAUGGCAACUGGAAGCAGAGACAGAUCAUUGUUCACCAGGGUCAGAAUAUAUAUCCCAAAGGCAUGCCCCCAGUGACCUACUUCCUCCAACCACACCCUACCUGCCUGCCUACAGUGACCACCCAAUUAAUCCAUAUCAGUGGAUGAAUCUACCAAGUACGUUAAAAUUCAAAAUAUGGGGCUGGGAAUGUGGCUCAAGUGGAAGCACGCUCGCCUGGCUUGCGUGCGGCCUUGGUUCGAUCCUCAGCACCACAUACAGAGAAAGAUGUUGUGUCUGCCAAUAACUAAAAAAUAAAUAUUAAAAUUCUCUCUCUCUCUCUUUAAAAAAAUUCAUAAUAUGAAAAUUCUUACAUUGUCUCACACAUAAGCUUUUGGGGGACAUUGGAUAUCUAAAUCAUAACAAGUGACUUACAUUAUGAGGGCUUAAAAUAAAGGAUCUGGCUCCUAAGGAAGUUUGGGAAAGACUCUCCUAGGAAGUGACUCCUGAAUCAAGAUAUGGAGAAUAUUUGGGCUAAACAAGGCAGAGAGAGAGAAAGGAAGUGCAUGGUACAAAUACUCAUGGAGGAAGGGAAGAGAGUGAGUGGACAGGACCUAAAGAUGGCUAUUGUCAUUACAGCAGUAAGAGUAACUGUAUCUGUAUCAUGCUGGCACUUUAAAGUAUGUUAUUCAAAUUCCUACUGAUUCAGACAAGUGACCACAAGCAAGUCACUUGACUUUUCCAUGCCUUAGUGCCUUCAUUGAUAAUAGAGAGAUAGCAAUGAUAGUAGUUCUUAGUAGAUUAUAAAUGUGAUGAUGUACAUCCUGCUCCACAGUCUGUAGGAACUACUAUUCUUAGUGAGUGUGAAGUUUAGAUAAGAAAAUGCAUGUAAUUGCUGUGUAUACAGCAAGUGCUCCAUUAAUUUUACUAAUUGUCCUCAUCGUGAUCCCAUUUAUUCUUGCAUCAGCCUUAAUAUGUGUCUAGAAACUGAGGCAGAGAAUGAUAUAUAAGUUGUUCAGCUCAUAAGGGAAAUCACAAGAGAGCAAGAAUUUGAAACAUGGUAUGUCUGCCUAUAUGAAGCUGGUGCUCUCCACCAUAGGAGACACCCAUCCCCGGUAGGGACUCUGUAAUAAAUGAGAUUACACACUGAGAAUGUUUUGUAAAGUAAACCUAAUCCAUAAAUAAAAGUCUUGUGAUUCUUCAUAUUAUCCUCUCUUAUUAUCUACACAAUAUUAUAACAACUUCAG
rnacentral:lncRNA from 1 species